UCCUCAGAAACUCUCCCCUCAUCAAAUAUCCAUCCCCCCCCCCCGGCAUCUAAGGCAUUUUCCAUUAGUUGGUGGGGGAUGGUUAGGAGAUAAUUUUUACAGGGCUGGUUUCCUCAUGCUGUCGCUGAGACGCUCUUUACUUCCACUCUCCUAUCUCUAAUACUAGGCGCUUGGUAAGGCAGCAGUUACGCGCUAUAUCUAGCUAGCUAGCAGCUGGCCAAUCAAAAUAUAUUGAAAAGAGUUCCGUGGAGCUCGAACCUUCAACCUUCCCUUCCCUACUGGCUUGCUUUGGCCAUCUGGAUCGGUAUUAACGUAUCGGAAGGACAACAAGUUGAAACCAUAGGCCUGCCUGAAAUUCACAAACCAGGUCCAAAAGUGCCUUGGAACACUGGUGAAAAUCAUUGGAGAUCAGCAUAAGUGUGAUACUUCAAGUGGUGGAACAUAGGGGCAAGCAGGGAUGGCAGCGGUAUUAUAAUAAUAAUAAUAAUUUAUUAUAUUAAAAGUGCUUUUGAAUGAAAAUCAUUUGCAAAGCACUGUACAAUUUAAAAAACAACACAUACUCAAAGAGAAAAUUGUACAUAGAGAUUAAAACAUUCUUAGAGAUUAAAACAUUUAGGUGCUGGUGUCGAAGUGUUCAAUAAAAAGGUGAGUUUUAAGGUGUUUUUUGAAGGCGCUGUUGCCAAUGGGAUCACGCAUCCAGGCCGGAAGUGAGUUCCACAGCCUGGGUGCCCAGUUCCCCAGGCAAAUUCCGAAGACGCCCCUUAUCAAUCUGACCUGGUAAAUCCCACGCCUAAGUUGUUCCUUUAAAUGAAAUGAUGUUGUCCUUCCGAGAGACCAUCUCCGUACUAUAGUCUCUUAUGUCUUCUCUGCAGGCUCAAAGCAAGGUGCUCCCAGAUGGUGGCGGUGUUGAUAUCAAGUUCAAUGGAGUCUUCCAGGCCUUCGCCAGAUCUGUCCAGCAGAAAGGGAUUCUUAGUCUUUGGAAUGGUCUCACACCAACACUUAUAAGGAUUGUCCCUCAAGCGGGCACCAUGUUCAUGGUGUGGGAGGCGUGUAGAAGACUCUUUAUAUACAACAACGGCUACACCACCAGUCCGUUCCUCGAUGAACCGAGGCCAGGGCUUGACCAGUCUCUCUCCCCGGAGGAGCUGAAGCGAGCGCGGAGGAAACAAAAGGAUGUGAUGUACUCCAGAUGAUGCAGGAGAAUCCUUGGGAAGGACUGUGGUCCUUAUCCAAAGUAAGCCCGGAAAUAUGUCCGAUAAAUUUCAUUGCUGUUGUCUGUCAGUUUCUGAUUUCUGAAGCGAUAGGCCAGCAGAUAUGCCAGACCAGAUGGUUUGGAAUAUAAGACAAUUCAAUUGAGCUGUGAUAGACUAUUCUGAGACACACUGUGGUUGUGAAUAACUUAUGUUAAAACAGGUCGGCGUCUUUGGGGAAGAGCUUUCCCAUUGUCUGGUGGUCAGAUGGAAAAUGACAUGUUCAAAGACAUACAGUCUUGUUCCUAGCACAUGUCCAGAUUGAAGCAGGUCUUUCCUGCUAUACUCAUGUUAUGUCACUCUGGUGAAGUUUUACGCAGUGCAAUAAAUUAAUUUUUUGACAA